AAAGCAGAAUUUGCCAAUAGCAUUCUCUUCCUUGUUACUUACUCUUCAAAGAUAUCUCAAUCUGGUUGUUGAGAG
ensembl:misc_RNA